AAUCAACGCUGGCGGCGUGCCUCAGACAUGCAAGUCGAACGAUUAAAACUCUCUUCGGAGAGUGCAUAGAGUGGCGCACGGGUGAGUAACACGUAAGUAAUCUACCUUCGAGUGGGGGAUAACGUCCGGAAACGGACGCUAAUACCGCAUAAUGCAGCGGCAUCGCAAGAUGACAGUUGUUAAAGGAGCAAUUCGCUUGAAGAGGAGCUUGCGGCAGAUUAGCUAGUUGGUAAGGUAAUGGCUUACCAAGGCUACGAUCUGUAACCGGUCUAAGAGGACGGUCGGUCACACUGACACUGAAUAACGGGUCAGACUCCUACGGGAGGCAGCAGUCGGGAAUUUUGGGCAAUGGGCGAAAGCCUGACCCAGCAACGCCGCGUGAAGGAUGAAGUAUUUCGGUAUGUAAACUUCGAAAGAAUAGGAAGAAUAAAUGACGGUACUAUUUAUAAGGUCCGGCUAACUACGUGCCAGCAGCCGCCGUAAC
rnacentral:rRNA from 1 species